rnacentral:rRNA from 1 species
GAUGAACGCUGGCGGCGUGCCUAAUACAUGCAAGUCGAGCGAACGGACGAGAAGCUUGCUUCUCUGAUGUUAGCGGCGGACGGGUGAGUAACACGUGGAUAACCUACCUAUAAGACUGGGAUAACUUCGGGAAACCGGAGCUAAUACCGGAUAAUAUUUUGAACCGCAUGGUUCAAAAGUGAAAGACGGUCUUGCUGUCACUUAUAGAUGGAUCCGCGCUGCAUUAGCUAGUUGGUAAGGUAACGGCUUACCAAGGCAACGAUGCAUAGCCGACCUGAGAGGGUGAUCGGCCACACUGGAACUGAGACACGGUCCAGACUCCUACGGGAGGCAGCAGUAGGGAAUCUUCCGCAAAGGGCGAAAGCCUGACGGAGCAACGCCGCGUGAGUGUUGAAGGUCUUCGGAUCGUAAAACUCUGUUAUUAGGGAAGAACAUAUGUGUAAGUAACUGUGCACAUCUUGACGGUACCUAAUCAGAAAGCCACGGCUAACUACGUG